UUGACUUUAAUGAAGGAUGGAUCAGGCCACAAGUCACUUAGCUGCCUUCAGUUUCUUAAGACAUGCUUUUUAAUUCCUGAGAAAAGCAACAGCAUGAACCAAACAGCUUUAGCGUCUCUCAUCUUACAGUGCAUUUUGCAAGUUCUGGAAGGAAACCUGGACACAGAGAAAAAUGCUACAGCGAAAAAUGAGCCAAAACACAAGCCAUAUGACAAUGCCUAUUUCUUCAUACUCUUUGUCAUGUUGUUUUACUCUUUCCUGGCAUUAACUGUCUUUUUUGGUUAUGUUCGCUCCAAGAAAGCCAUUUCAAAGAAAGAUCCUUACCAGGAAUUCAUCGAGGAUAAGGAUCGAAGCAAGAAGUGGAACAUGACCCGGCCAGUGGUGGUGAAAUUUGACUUUGAAGAAGAAAGUAUUCUUUGAACUACUUAAACCAAAAUAUUCUGCCAAAUGCACUGGACUGUCUCUGUUGCCUACAUCUCAAAGGAAGAUCUAUGCAUUCCUCUUGAUCAGCUAUGUCCAGCACAAUAAGUCAAACCAUUGCUUAGAAAUAGGUAGUGUUAAUAUACAGUGCUACCCAGAGGCAUUCAUGAGCACAAUACUGAUUUUCAGUUGGUAUGUAGGCUCGGGUUUGUCUGAACAUGCACUAAAACUAAAGCUGAGCAAAUAAUUCUCAAUAAAUAUUUAUUUGGAGAAAUUAGUUUGCUCAUGGAGUUGCUGUGCAGAGAUGGAGAUUUCCUCAGAUUUAUCUGUUAUUCACAAUUAUUUGUCAUUUUUUUCUUUUUGUGUGCGCAGAUUUUAACUCUUUGGACUGUAAAUGAAUAGGCCUUUAUUAGUAUUAGGUAUUUAAUAAUUAAGCUAUGGUGGUUAGUUGUGAUUGGUCCAAUAUGUCACAUGAUAUUACUUCUGGAUGAGCAUGCAAACACUUCUGGUGUAAAAACUCAUAUGUGCAAAUGUAUAAAUACUCACACCUGCAAUGUUGAAAUUCGCGUUCUACAAACCUUCAUGUCAGUAAAACUAGACUGAAUAAAUGGUACACACAAAGCAAUACACUUAGUGAAUUCAUUUAAAAUUUGCAGUAUCCACCUAGCUUUAUCUGAAAUAUUUUAGAAAUAACAUUGUGUAUGAAACAUAUUAAUUUACGUAAAAGCUAUCACUAUCCUUCAUUUGCAGUAGUUUGGGGUAAAGAAAUGGAGGUCAAAGUCAUCUGUGUUUACUUCAGGCCAGCAAACUGGGACUGUGUUAAAAGAGAACUGCUGUUGCUUGGAGACUCAUAGUUAGAUCUGAACAAAUAGGGGGAAUUAUUCUACAGAACACUGAGCCCUGGAAGAUGGUUCUAUAUUUCAUUGUCUUCUCAGUAUGUGUGUAGAUAUUACUCUACGUAUUUGUUGAAAAUCUCAUCAAAUUUUUAUCUCGCUGUCAUUGUUUUAAGUUGUUUUCCCAAAAGUUCAUACUUAAAAAUUAUGGGUAACGUGCAUACUGAAAAAUUAAAGUUCCAUCGCCAAAGUGUCA